rnacentral:misc_RNA from 1 species
AAUAUAAGCAAUUCAUCUCAAGGUGCAGUCCCCUAUAUCUCCUUUUUGUUUUAUCUCCUAAUUUAAGAAGAAUUCUGUAUGUGGGAAUAAGAUUUUUGUUUAUGCAUUCUGCAAUUCUAAUUUCCCCAAGUUUUCUACAAGAAAUUGUCAUCUUGUUGCAGCUUAAUGUGACAUGGAUGAUUAUGUUUGAGUUGUAGGUUUGCAAGGAUAUGUUGGAAA